ACGCUCGACACCUACGGAGGCAGCAGUGGGGAAUAUUGCACAAUGGGGGAAACCCUGAUGCAGCGACGCCGCGUGGAGGAAGAAGGUCUUCGGAUUGUAAACUCCUGUUGUUGGGGAAAAANGGAUGGUACCCAACAAGGAAGUGACGGCUAACUACGUGUCAGCAGCCGCGUAAUCUGAGGCGGGCUGGCAAGGC
rnacentral:rRNA from 1 species